rnacentral:rRNA from 1 species
UACGUAGGGUGCGAGCGUUAAUCGGAAUUACUGGGCGUAAAGCGUGCGCAGGCGGUUUUGUAAGACAGUUGUGAAAUCCCCGGGCUUAACCUGGGAAUGGCAUCUGUAACUGCAAAGCUAGAGUACGGUAGAGGGGGAUGGAAUUCCGCGUGUAGCAGUGAAAUGCGUAGAUAUGCGGAGGAACACCGAUGGCGAAGGCAGUCCCCUGGACCUGUACUGACGCUCAUGCACGAAAGCGUGGGGAGCAAACAGGAUUAGAUACCCUGGUAGUCCACGCCCUAAACGAUGUCAACUGGUUGUUGGAUCUUUUCUGAUUCAGUAACGAAGCUAACGCGUGAAGUUGACCGCCUGGGGAGUACGGCCGCAAGGUUG